AUGCCAGUUUAGCUGAGUGGUUUCUUCUUAUGGACAUACACCUUGAAGUAUCAAUCCGCAGGCGCUCUCUGGCGUUUUU
rnacentral:vault_RNA from 1 species